rnacentral:sRNA from 1 species
AAAACCUUCAUCACGCAGCAGGGCAUCAAGAGUCAGGUACUUGAAUUGUGCAGACUAUAGUCAGGGUGGAGUCCAAUCUCCCUUCAUCUCAGCUGGCCCCUGAGCCUUGUCUGAGCUGACUCAUGAGCCCUCCCAUGACAGGAAGUGCUGGCCUGAGCCUCCUGCCAUGAUUGCAGGCCUAUUUUGCUCUGUGUGGUCCUCCCACUGCAGGAGCAGCCAAUUCAGCAUCUCUGUUACCAGGAAUACAGCUCAAGCAGUUUCCUUUUGCACUGAGGGGUGGGGGAGGAGGCCUGGUCUUGAGGCCUGGUGUUCCUCAGGAGGAGCGAGCUUGGGCCCUCUCCUCUAGGAUCCAAGCCUCAUAGCUUUCUCCUCCUUUUCUGCCUCCCUUGCUGCUUCAUGUGGGCACCUCGUUGGCCCUGCGGCCUCCAGCAUCAGACAAAAGAAGAGCAGUCACAGAUCACCAGCCAGGUGACUGGGCAGAUUGGCUGGCGGCGAGAGGGUAUCAAGUAUCGCCGGAAUGAGCUCUUCCUGGAUGUGCUGGAGAGUGUGAACCUGCUCAUGUCCCCACAAGGGCAGGUGCUGAGUGCCCAUGUGUCGGGCCGGGUGGUGAUGAAGAGCUACCUGAGUGGCAUGCCUGAAUGCAAGUUUGGGAUGAAUGACAAGAUUGUUAUUGAAAAGCAGGGCAAAGGCACAGCUGAUGAAACAAGCAAGAGGUGCCUGAGGCAGGAGAGCUGGUGGGAGAGGGUGUCCCUUGGAGGGCUCAGUGGGGUCUAGUGAACCACAAGUUUCUUCUGGAUUUCAUUCCCACUGUAAUUGCAAACUCUGUUCCUGACGGUAAGCCUGGCUGUUCGCUCUUGACAUUAGUGCUACGAGAGAUGAGGGGAUCGUCCUCAGAGAGCAAGCCCCUUUGUUUGGUCCCUAGGACCAAGGCCUUUUCUGUACAUACUGACAGCCUCUGCCCAGUGUGCCUGAAACACCCAGGUCCCUAGCAGAAGGAGCCCCAAGAGAUGAGCUUGCAAGGCUUCCCUCUCAUCCCAAGCUCUGGGGCAGACCUCCGAGUCACAGAGCUGCAUUCUAGCAGCUUUUCAUAGUCUCUGGUGCCAGCCUGGGGUGGAGUGGUCUCCCAGCAUGACAGCUGUCAUUCUCCCGUACCAAUGAGACCUCUUCUGCCC